rnacentral:rRNA from 1 species
AGGGUGCAAGCGUUAAUCGGAAUUACUGGGCGUAAAGCGCACGUAGGCGGUUAGGUAAGUCGAAUGUGAAAGCCCCGGGCUCAACCUGGGAAUUGCAUUCGAUACUGCUUGACUAGAGUAUGACAGAGGAAUGCGGAAUUCCAGGUGUAGCGGUGAAAUGCGUAGAUAUCUGGAGGAACAUCAGUGGCGAAGGCGGCAUU